CCUANGGGGGGCAGCAGUGGGGAAUAUUGGACAAUGGGGGAAACCCUGAUCCAGCGACGCCGCGUGGGUGAAGAAGGCCUGCGGGUUGUAAAGCCCUUUCGGUAGGGACGAAAACUCUUGAUCUAAUAAAUCAGGGGAUUGACUUAACCUACAAAAGAAGCACCGGCUAACUCUGUGCCAGCAGCCGCGGUAAUACAGAGGGUGCGAGCGUUAAUCGGAAUUACUGGGCGUAAAGCGCACGUAGGCGGCUCUGUAAGUCGGUUGUGAAAUCCCCGGGCUCAACCUGGGAACUGCAUCCGAAACUACAUUGCUAGAGUAUGGGAGAGGGAGGCGGAAUUUCCGGUGUAGCAGUGAAAUGCGUAGAUAUCGGAAGGAACAUCAGUGGCGAAGGCGGCCUCCUGGACCAAUACUGACGCUCAGGUGCGAAAGCGUGGGGAGCAAACAGGAUUAGAUACCCUUNUANUC
rnacentral:rRNA from 1 species